rnacentral:rRNA from 2 species
GUUUCCGUAGGUGAACCUGCGGAAGGACAUUA